rnacentral:lncRNA from 1 species
CAGCUUCUACUUCAUCUCCUACACCAACUGACAUUGAGGCAGCUAUGCACACCAUGUCUCUACAUCCUCCUGAUACUCAGUGGUACAUGGAUACCGGCGCAACAUCUCACACGACAGCAUCACGAGGUAAUCUCUCAUCUUAUUCUCCUAUAAGUCAUUUAAAUCAGAAAAUUAUUGUUGGCAGUGGCCAUGGAAUUCCAAUUCACGGCACCGAACACACACAACUCACAACCUCUAACCAACCCAUUCACUUAAAACAUGCCCUUCAUGCCCCAAAAAUUAUUAAAAAUUUAAUCUCUGUAAGACAACUCACCACUGACAACAAUGUAUCUGUUUCUUUUGACCCUUUUGGUUUUACUGUCUCUGAUUUUCAGACGGGGAUUCCUCUUCUCAGAUGUAAUAGUCGUGGCGACCUAUAUCCAGUCACCCCUCCCAACAAUUUUGUCGAUCUUACGUCCAGUCUAUGGCACGAUCGUCUUGGUCAUCCUGGCGUGUCUGUUUUAAAUUCCCUACGCAAGAAUAAAUUCAUAUGUUGUGAAACUUCUCAUAAUUCUGUCAUCUAUGACUCGUGUGUUUUAGGCAAACAAGUUAAAUUGCCAUUUUUUAAUUCUCAAACUGCUACUCUCAUGCCUUUUGAUAUUUUACAUAGUGACUUGUGGACUUCUCCUGUUUUAAGUUCUGCUGGCCAUAAAUAUUAUGUUUUAUUUUUAGACGACUUCACAAAUUUCUUGUGGACUUUUCCUAUUAGUAGAAAAUCUCAGGUUUUUGAAAUGUUCAAGUCACUUACUUCUCUUAUUCACACUCAAUUUUUGCAAAAUGUAAAAUCCUUCCAAUGUGACAAUGGCGGUGAAUAUAAUAAUGAGCUAUUUCAACAAUAUUGUAUUACUAAUGGCCUUAUUUUUCGCUUCUCUUGCCCUCACACAUCCUCCCAAAAUGGUAAAGCGGAACGAAAAAUAAGAACCAUUAAUAAUAUGAUUCGCACUAUGCUAGCUCACUCUUCUGUUCCCCCACAAUUUUGGCAUCAUGCACUUCACAUGGCAACUUAUUUGCUAAAUAUUCUUCCCUGUAAAACACUUCAAAAUCAAUCACCAACACAGCUCCUUUACCACCGUGAUCCCAGCUACACACAUUUACGAGUCUUUGGUUGUUUGUGUUAUCCAUUACUCCCAUCACCUACCAUUCAUAAAUUACAACCCCGUUCUACUCCGUGUGUCUUCUUAGGUUAUCCCCUGAAUCAUAGAGGUUACAAGUGUUUUGAUUUGUCUAACAGAAAGUUAAUAAUUUCGAGGCAUGUUAUCUUUGAUGAAACUCAAUUUCCCUUCACCAAAGUACACUACCCUUCCCCUCACUCCUAUGACUUUCUAGACAAUGACCUACACCCCUACCUCAUACAACAGUGGCAAACUCAACAUCCACCACCGGAUACUCCUAACCAACAACCAGCAACAACCACAAUGGCCAAACCAAUCGACCCAACUCCACUAAAUUCACAUACUACAAUCUCCCCUACCUUAACCUCACCAAUUCAACCACAUCCUCCACCACCUACCCGCACCAUCAUCACCCGUAGCAUGAAUGGUAUUACUAAACCCCGCACAAUGUUUAACUUAUCCCUUUCACACUCAAACCACACCAUCUCUCCCAUACCUAAAAAUCACAAACUAGCCUUAUCGUACCCGAAUUGGAAAUCCGCAAUGCAAUCUGAGUUUGAUGCACUUAUUAGAAAUAAGACGUGGGAUUUAGUUCCUCGCCCUAGAGAUGCUAAUCUUAUUCGAUGUAUGUGGAUUUUUAAACAUAAGAAAAAUUUUGAUGGGUCUUUUGAUCGCUAUAAGGCUCGCCUUGUUUGUGAUGGCAGGUCACAGGUUGCAGGUGUGGAUUGUGAUGAGACUUUCAGCCCGGUGGUAAAACCCGCUACCAUUCGAACAGUACUCACCAUUGCUCUCUCUCACUCAUGGCCCAUUCAUCAGCUGGAUGUUCAGAAUGCUUUUUUUGCAUGGUGAUCUUCACGAAACUGUCUACAUGCAUCAACCAUUGGGUUUUCGCGACUCUUGUCAUCCGGAUUACGUUUGUCGUUUGAAGAAGUCGCUUUAUGGUCUCAAGCAAGUGCCUCGAGCAUGGUACCAACGCUUUGCUGACUAUGUAACUACCAUUGGUUUUCGACAUAGCACAUCAGAUCAUUCUCUCUUCAUAUACCGACAGCAAUCCGACAUGGCCUACAUUCUGCUGUGGACGACAUCAUCCUUAUUACUUCCACUCAUGCCCUUCGCCAAUCCAUUAUGUCCCUCUUGGCAUCCGAGUUUGCAAUGAAGGAUUUGGGUCCUCUGAGCUAUUUUUUGGGUAUUGCCGUCUCUCGUCAUCCUGGUGGUCUCUUUCUCAGUCAAAGCACCUAUGCCUCUGAAAUCAUUGACCGUGCUGGGAUGCAAUCUUGCAAAUCAUCUGUCACCCCUGUUGACACUAAACAAAAACUCAGCACUUCAUCAGGCACACCUUAUGAAGAUCCAUCUCUCUAUCGUAGUCUUGCAGGAGCUUUACAAUACCUCACAUUCACUAGACCCGACAUCUCUUACGCUGUUUAGCAAGUUUGUCUUCACAUGCAUGCACCUAGUACAGAACACAUGCUUGCUCUAAAUCUCAUUCUUCGUUAUGUUCAGGGUACCGUACAUUUUGGACUACAUUUAUCACCAUCUCCCAUCACCAAACUCCUUUCCUACACUGACUCCGAUUGGGGUGGAUGUCCUGACACCCGACGUUCCACUUCUGGAUACUGUGUCUUUCUCGGUGACAACCUCAUCGCUUGGUCCUCCAAGAGACAACCCACUCUCUCUCGGUCUAGUGCUGAAGCGGAAUAUAGAGGUGUUGCUAAUGUUGUGUCUGAGUCAUGUUGGCUUCGUAAUCUCUUACUGGAGCUCCACUUUCCUAUUCCUCAGGCUACUUUGGUGUAUUGUGACAAUGUUAGUGCCAUCUACCUAUCUGGCAACCCUGUGCAGCAUCAACGUACCAAACACAUUGAAAUGGACAUACACUUUGUACGGGAAAAAGUAGCUCGUGGUCAGGCACGCGUCCUCCAUGUUCCAUCUCGACAUCAGAUUGCAGAUAUCUUCACCAAAGGGCUUCCUCGCAUUCUCUUUGAUGAUUUUCGGACCAGUCUCAGCGUCCGUGAACCUCCCGCUUCGACUGUGGGGGUCUGAUAGAAUAUUAUAUUUAAUAAAAUUAAUAGAAUAGAAUAUUCGGUCAUUAUUGGCUAUUAUUAGUUCCCUGUAAAUAGGCUGUAUCAUAAUUNUCGGUCAUUAUUGGCUAUUAUUAGUUCCCUGUAAAUAGGCUGUAUCAUAAUUAGUAAGUUGAUCAGACGUUACACAACAGUUGUAUAUAUUCUAUUUAGAUCAAUGAGAAAGGCAAGCAUUUUGUUAUCUUACAUGGUAUCACUCCUAACCGAUCCCUCUCUCUAAAUAUAUAUAUAUAUAAAAAAAAAAAAAAAAAGAGAGAAAGAAAGAAAAACAGAAGUCGUAGAACUCUGUUCUCCUUCUUCUCACGCACGCGCAGCGCCGCCGCACCCCUCCCUCUUACCUUGCGCCGCCGCCGCCUCUGUUGCCCUGUAAUCCGAUCGACCUCCGAUCCUUGACCAGCAGUGCUCGUGCGUCACUUCCUCCACUUCGACCGUGCCCACCGCGCCGUCGUCGCCCCCUUUCUCAAUCUGGUUGUGUUUCACCUCCGAUCACCUCCGUUUCUCUUCUUUCCGUGCUGUUCUACCUUAACCAUCACUCAUCAUGUCCGAUUCCGACCUCAAUGAUGACCAGAGCAGCGCCGCCGCUGCCUCUGCCUCCGCUGCUGCCGCUGCCUCCGCCGCUGUCAAUUCGACCAUUUUCAAAAAUGGCUUUCAUCCCGCUCUUGCUGUCUCCAAUAUUAGGAAUCACAUUCCUAUUAUUCUUGAGAUGGAAAAGGACCAAUAUGGAACUUGGGCGGAACUCUUCUGCAUUCAUGCUCGUUCUCAUCGAGUAUUGCAUCACAUUGUUCCCUCUGCAGACAAAACACCGCCACUACCUGCAAACGUCGAAUAUGAGCAAUGGACUACUCUAGAUGCCACCGUGCUUCAGUGGAUUUAUUCCACAAUUUCCACUUACUUACUGAUGACUAUUUUGGAACCAAACUCCACUGCGGUAGCCGCAUGGAAUCGUUUGGCAGACAUCUUUCAAGACAAUCAAAACGCCCGUGCUGUCACUCUCGAGCAAGAGUUCUCCAACACCCGCAUGGAAGACUUUCCCAACGUCUCUGCAUACUGCCAGUGUCUCAAGAUGCUCUCUGACCAAUUGAGGAAUGUCGGCUCUCCCGUCAACAAUCACCGUCUGGUACUCCAACUGAUAUCUGGACUCCCUGAAGCUUAUCGUAGUGUGGCCACCCUGAUUCGCCAGAGUAAUCCUCUUCCUGCAUUUUAUCAGGCUCGCUCCAUGCUCACCUUGGAAGAAUCUGGCAUGGCUAAAAUGGCUAACACCGGCUCUCCUGCUGCCUUACACACCACUCAGCAGUGACCUCCUGAGGACACCUCUCAACGUGGCAACCGUCGUCCCAACAACCACAACAACCGGUCUCGUUCUCGUGGCAAUCAGGGUCGCGGAGGGGGGCGUGGUAACCGUAGCAGACCUCAAUCCGGAGCUCCCAACACCUCCCCAUCCUGGUCUUCUCCUCCUUGGGCGCAGCAACAACAAUACCCUGCCUGGCAAUCAUGGGGUUGGAUCCCACCACCAUGGGCCAUACCUCCGUGUCCGUAUCCCACAUCUCAGUGGACACACCCUACUGGCCCUACCGCUCCUCCGAGACAGCCGGGCAUCCUAGGACAGCGUCCUCAGGCGUAUGCAGCUUCUACUUCAUCUCCUACACCAAUUGACAUUGAGGCAGCUAUGCACACCAUGUCUCUACAUCCUCCUGAUACUCAGUGGUACAUGGAUACCGGCGCAACAUCUCACACGACAUCAUCACGAGGUAAUCUCUCGUCUUAUUCUCCUAUAAGUCAUUUAAAUCAGAAAAUUAUUGUUGGCAGUGGCCAUGGAAUUCCAAUUCACGGCACCGUACACACACAACUCACAACCUCUAACCAACCCAUUCACUUAAAACAUGUCCUUCAUGCCCCGAAAAUUAUUAAAAAUUUAAUCUCUGUAAGACAACUCACCACUGACAACAAUGUAUCUGUUUCUUUUGACCCCUUUGGUUUUACUGUCUCUGAUUUUCAGACGGGGAUUCCUCUUCUCAGAUGUAAUAGUCGUGGCGACCUAUAUCCAGUCACCCCUCCCAACAAUUUUGUCGGUCUUACGUCCAGUCUAUGGCACGAUCGUCUUGGUCAUCCUGGCGUGUCUGUUUUAAAUUCCCUACGCAAGAAUAAAUUCAUAUGUUGUGAAACUUCUCAUAAUUCUGUCAUCUGUGACUCGUGUGUUUUAGGCAAACAAGUUAAAUUGCCAUUUUUUAAUUCUCAAACUGCUACUCUCAUACCUUUUGAUAUUUUACAUAGUGACUUGUGGACUUCUCCUGUUUUAAGUUCUGCUGGCCAUAAAUAUUAUGUUCUAUUUUUAGACGACUUCACAAAUUUCUUGUGGACCUUUCCUAUUAGUAGAAAAU